rnacentral:rRNA from 1 species
GGGUAAUCUGCCCUGCACUCUGGGAUAAGCCUGAGAAACUGGGUCUAAUACUGGAUAUGACCUUUCUCCUUAUGGGGUUUGGUGGAAAGUUUUUCGGUGUAGGAUGAGCCCGCGGCCUAUCAGCUUGUUGGUGGGGUGAUGGCCUACCAAGGCGACGACGGGUAGCCGGCCUGAGAGGGUGAUCGGCCACAUUGGGACUGAGAUACGGCCCAG